GAUGAAGAACGUAGUGAAAUGCGAUAAGUAAUGUGAAUUGCAGAAUUCAGUGAAUCAUCGAAUCUUUGAACGCACCUUGCGCCUUUUGGUAUUCCGAAAGGCACACCUGUUUGAGCGUCAUGAAUACCUCAAUCUCCAUCUUUUCUUCGGAUUGAUGGGUGACUUGGAUGUUGAGCCCUGCUGGUAUGCUAUAUCAGCUGGCUUUAAACUUAUUAGCCGGCUCUGUACUGGAUCGGUUUGACUCGACGUGAUAAUAUUAUCGUUGAGGAUGCAUGUCUCAUGCAGCCGGAAAGUAUCAAAGCAGCUUCUAGCUUGCCUUUAGUGCACUUUUACAUUUUAGACCUCAGAUCAGGUGGGACUACCCGCUGAACUUAAGCAUAUCAAUAGCGGAGG
rnacentral:misc_RNA from 1 species